UACGUAGGGCGCAAGCGUUAUCCGGAAUUAUUGGGCGUAAAGAGCUCGUAGGCGGUUUGUCGCGUCUGCCGUGAAAGUCCGGGGCUCAACUCCGGAUCUGCGGUGGGUACGGGCAGACUAGAGUGAUGUAGGGGGAGACGUGAAUUCCUGGUGUAGCGGUGAAAUGCGCAGAUAUCAGGAGGAACACCGAUGGCGAAGGCAGGUCUCGUGGGCAUUAACUGACGCUGAGGAGCGAAAGCAUGGGGAGCGAACAGG
rnacentral:rRNA from 1 species